AGUCGAACGAGAAAGCUGGUAGCAAUACCGGUGAGUACAGUGGCGCACGGGUGAGUAACACGUGGAUAAUCUGCCUCGGAAUGGGGAAUAACUUUGGGAAACCGAAGCUAAUACCGCAUAACAAUUUGGGACUGCGGUCCUGAAUUUGAAACUCGCAAGAGGUUCCGAGAGGAGUCCGCGGCUGAUUAGCUAGUUGGCGGGGUAACGGCCCACCAAGGCUUUGAUCGGUAGCCGGCCUGAGAGGGCGGACGGCCACACUGGAACUGAAACACGGUCCAGACUCCUACGGGAGGCAGCAGUGGGGAAUUUUGCGCAAUGGGGGAAACCCUGACGCAGCAACGCCGCGUGGACGAUGAAGCUUCUUGGAGUGUAAAGUCCUUUCGGCAGGGACGAAUCAGUUGACGGUACCUGCAGAAGAAGCCCCGGCUAACUCCGUGCCAGCAGCCGCGGUAAUACGGGGGGGGCGAGCGUUGUUCGGAAUUAUUGGGCGUAAAGGGUGCGUAGGCGGUGCGGUAAGUUUGGUGUGAAACCUCCAGGCUCAACUUGGAGCUUGCACCAAAAACUGCCGUGCUAGAGUGUGGGAGAGGAGAGUGGAAUUCCCGGUGUAGCGGUGAAAUGCGUAGAUAUCGGGAGGAACAUCGGUGGCGAAGGCGGCUCUCUGG
rnacentral:rRNA from 1 species